GAAAACAUUUUUCAGCUGCAUGAUUUCAUAUGCUAGUAUGUCAGUUAAAGGACUCAGUGUUUUGAAUUUAUAGAGAGAUUUAAUUCUGUUAUUUCUUAUUUUUGACAAAUGCUAGCAUUGUUCCUUUCAGUGCACAGAGGGUUAAUUAAGCUGAUUUUUUAAAUUUCCAUGAAAUAUAAUUUAGAGAAAGAAAAGUAUCAAGCUUAUAUUUGAAGUAGAAUCUCGUGAGAGAGUAUGUUCAUCUCAGCAGAAGUUGUGAAGACUUUUCAAACAAAAUUUAUUCCUAUGGAAUUUGAUUGACACAUGCCGUUCAUUUUAGAAAGCCAUUUUGCGAUAUUAGUACCUGUCUUCAGACAGAACUUAUUUAUUAAGCAGAUAGAUAUUUGUAUGAUAUUGUAUAACUUACAAACUUCCAAUGUAUUUAUUGUUAAUUUGUUUUUUGUAUGAAUUAGGACCAUAUGUGAUGUGAUUUCAGAUUAAAUUAUAUUUUGUAAAAAUACACACAUGAAAUGAG
rnacentral:sRNA from 1 species